UGCCUGUCGGGACCCGAAAGA
rnacentral:siRNA from 1 species